CCCGGCCCCGCCGCCGGCGGAUGGAGCGCGGCGGCCGGGAAGGACUGGGACUUCUCAUCUUCUGGUGUAUUUUCUGGGCUGAAAAUUGACCCUGAUACCCUAGUAAAGAAGCUUGACUUGGAUUCCAGAAGCAUCAUUUCCUCCAGAACAGGUUUG